GCCCCAUAUGAAUGACCACCCACAGCAAUCUUAUUUGGGUGAGCAACCCCUCUUCGUAUUACUUCCUCUGCUGCAGCCUCUGCACUAGAAACCAACUGCUCUACAUACCUAUCAUUCGCCUCUUCAUCACCCUCGCCAAUUAUAGGGAUCGUUGGUCCAUAUAAAACAGCAAAUCCCCUAGCCAACCAAAGAAGAGGUGAUGUCGGAUAAAUGCCUGCAAACUCAUUAGGAGAGCCGCGGACUUGCCCAGCAGCAUCUUUGCUUUUGAACUCUCCAGGAUAAGACCAGAAAAGACAUGGGAGAGGUCCAUCUUUUGCUGGGCUGUAACCCGGAGGUAAAUAAAGAGUUGCAGUCAGUUGAACACCAUCCUUUCGCUGGUAUAUGAUCAUCUCUUUCUGUAAGGAUGCCAGUUGAGGAUAUGGGUGGGGGAAGUUUGUAAUCU
rnacentral:misc_RNA from 1 species